UCCAGCAACAGUUGCGUCGCCCGGUCGUCGCUACACGACGAUUCCCCCACCGCCAACCCCGACCGCGGCCGCGACAGUCUCUUUCCCCGCUCUGUCAGAAGCCGCCCGACAAUCUGUUGUUUCGCGCUCUCCCCCGCGCCGCGUCCGCUUGUUCUCCCCCCUGUGCGCCCUUGAUCCUAGCGCCGUUUAACCGGUCUUUUCUAUCACCUCUUCCGCAUGACGACGCCCGCUCUCCGCAAAAUCUCAACCACCGGUCUACCCGCGCCUACGCUGCCCUGACGGAGUAGCGCAAUGAUCGCUGGCGUCACCCCCGGAGUUCUGCAGCACCGCCCGGUUUGCUCAAUCGCCGCCACGGCAGAGCACUCCAUUGCUUCUCCCCGGCCUUCGCGCCGCUCCCCUUCUCUCUCUCCGCGACGUUUCCGUUCCCCUGCGCCAGCAGCUAUAAAAGGAAUGCCCCCGUCGCCGGAGUUCCCUCCGCCUUUGUUGCCCUUAGCUUCCUCUAGCUCCCUGCUCAAGCUUCUAGCGCCACCCACCCAGUUC
rnacentral:lncRNA from 1 species